GGUAAUAGCUCAGUGGUAGAGCGUGUGCUUAGCAUGCUUGAGGUCCUGAGUUCAAUCCCCAGUACCA
rnacentral:tRNA from 1 species